AUAGCAUAUCAAUAAGCGGAGGAAAAGAAACCAACCGGGAUUGCCCUAGUAACGGCGAGUGAAGCGGCAAGAGCUCAAAUUUGAAAGCUGGCUCCUUCGGGGUCCGCAUUGUAAUUUGCAGAGGAUGCUUCGGGAGCGGUCCCCAUCUAAGUGCCCUGGAACGGGCCGUCAUAGAGGGUGAGAAUCCCGUCUGGGAUGGGGUGCCCGCGCCCGUGUGAAGCUCCUUCGACGAGUCGAGUUGUUUGGGAAUGCAGCUCUAAUUGGGUGGUAAAUUUCAUCUAAAGCUAAAUAUUGGCCGGAGACCGAUAGCGCACAAGUAGAGUGAUCGAAAGAUGAAAAGCACUUUGAAAAGAGAGUUAAACAGCACGUGAAAUUGUUGAAAGGGAAGCGCUUGCGAUCAGACUCGCCCGCGGGGUUCAGCCGGCAUUCGUGCCGGUGUACUUCCCCGUGGGCGGGCCAGCGUCGGUUUGGGCGGCCGGUCAAAGGCCCCUGGAAUGUAACGCCUCUCGGGGCGUCUUAUAGCCAGGGGUGCCAUGCGGCCUGCCCGGACCGAGGAACGCGCUUCGGCUCGGACGCUGGCAUAAUGGUCGUAAGCGACCCGUCUUGAAACACGGACCAAGGAGUCUAACAUCUACGCGAGUGUUCGGGUGUCAAACCCGUGCGCGCAGUGAAAGCGAACGGAGGUGGGAACCCCCCGGGGUGCACCAUCGACCGAUCCUGAUGUCUUCGGAUGGAUUUGAGUAAGAGCGUAGCUGUUGGGACCCGAAAGAUGGUGAACUAUGCCUGAAUAGGGCGAAGCCAGAGGAAACUCUGGUGGAGGCUCGCAGCGGUUCUGACGUGCAAAUCGAUCGUCAAAUUUGGGUAUAGGGGCGAAAGACUAAUCGAACCAUCUAGUAGCUGGUUCCUGCCGA
rnacentral:rRNA from 1 species